UGGGAGGAUUCAUCUCUUCAGGUUCAUUCACGAAAACUCUUCGUUUCGGACAACAGCACCAGAGCACCACCUGAGAGGAGGAACACUUUUGUCCUUUAACAGUACAGUCACUGACAAAAAAGUUCAUACAAUAUUGAUCCUACACCCUCGAUCACUCACCAGAAUGAUGAGGAUGAUGAGGAGGAAAAGGCUGAUAGCCGCCAGCGCUAAGAGGGCGACGCCCCAUCCAGGAACCAGAGCAGAGGCCUCGGUCAGAGACGCCGUGGUAAGAACUCUUCCCCUCGGGGCUUCAGUGAAGUGCUUUAUGCCACCCUGAUGUUUGGGAUGAAGGACGUCAUCUUACCACACACAGUCUGAAAUUUUUAGUGACACUCAGUUUAGUGGCAGAAUUUGCACUCUUCAGUGUCUAAUUUGCUAUUUUAGUUUAUUUUCCAGUCUUGUGUUUUUGAAUAUUUAAAAAUGCACACAAUGUGGUCUGUAAAAUCUGGAGAACAUUAUCCAUCAGCAUUUCAAUUCAUGGCAGUUGCUUGGCUGGUGCAGGUGUGCAUAUUUUUUUAAGUACUAUUAAAAGUACUAUUAAUUUCUUUAAAAUAUAUUUUAAUGUCGGAAAAAUUAUUUCAUGUGAAAAUGUGCAAGGCUCCUUUUGACCUUUAGUUGUUCUUGGAACAAUUUCAAAGAAUUUCAGAAUGUCCCAAUGAUGCCUAAAGCCCUUUUCCAGAGAUUUUCGCAGUGUGUUGAACUUUUCUUGUCUUUACCCUUGAUGAAACUUAAUUAUCUAAAUGGGAACACACAGUUACAUUAAGUGGUUACAUAUGUGAUAUUUUCAGGCCAUAGAUUAAGACAGAGUAAAUGUGGUCUAAAGAAAGAAGAGGAUUACUGAAACGAACUCAAGAGUUCACACAAACGGACGGGAUGGGUGCUCAUGGCCUGAACAGGAAUGUACUGGACUCUAUCAGUCCCUUGGGUUUCUGGAGAUGAUGUCAUCAUGUGUGCAUGUGUUUUUUUUCUCAUGAAUUCUUGGCAGAUUCCUGGGUUGGAGAGUUUCAACAUAUGCAGCUGAUUGUCCGUUUGGCCAAGGGAUGAAG